GCCCCGGUGGUGUAUCGGUUAACAUAACCAGUCUCAACAAGUGUUCGGGAGCCGGUGGCGCAGGGUUCGACUCCCUGUCGGGGUA